rnacentral:rRNA from 1 species
GACGUAGGGCGCGAGCGUUGUUCGGAAUUACUGGGCGUAAAGGGCGCGUAGGCGGCCUUCUAAGUCGAACGUGAAAUCCCCGGGGCUCAACCCGGGAACUGCGUCCGAUACUGGAAGGCUUGAAUCCGGGAGAGGGAUGCGGAAUUCCAGGUGUAGCGGUGAAAUGCGUAGAUAUCUGGAGGAACACCGGUGGCGAAGGCGGCAUCCUGGACCGGCAUUGACGCUGAGGCGCGAAAGCCAGGGGAGCAAACGGG